CGUAGGGGCGAGCGUUGUCCGGAUUCAUUGGGCGUAAAGAGCUCGUAGGCGGUUUCGUAAGUCGGGUGUGAAAACCCCAGGCUCAACCUGGGGACGCCACCUGAUACUGCGAUGACUUGAGUCUGGUAGGGGAUCACGGAAUUCCUGGUGUAGCGGUGAAAUGCGCAGAUAUCAGGAGGAACACCGGUGGCGAAGGCGGUGAUCUGGGCCAGUACUGACGCUGAGGAGCGAAAGCGUGGGUAGCAAACAGGAUU
rnacentral:rRNA from 1 species